rnacentral:rRNA from 1 species
GAUGAACGCUGGCGGCGUGCCUAAUACAUGCAAGUCGAGCGAACAGACGAGAGUGCUUGCACUCUCUGACGUUAGCGGCGGACGGGUGAGUAACACGUGGGUAACCUACCUAUAAGGCUGGGAUAACUUCGGGAAACCGGAGCUAAUACCGGAUAAUAUUUAGCUUCGCAUGAAGCAAUAGUGAAAGACGGUUCUGCUGUCACUUAUAGAUGGACCCGCGGUGUAUUAGCUGGUUGGUGAGGUAACGGCUCACCAAGGCAACGAUACAUAGCCGACCUGAGAGGGUGAUCGGCCACACUGGGACUGAGACACGGCCCAGACUCCUACGGGAGGCAGCAGUAGGGAAUCUUCCGCAAUGGACGAAAGUCUGACGGAGCAAUGCCGCGUGAGUGAAGAAGGUUUUCGGAUCGUAAAACUCUGUUGUAAGGGAAGAACAAGUACGUUAGUAACUGAACGUACCUUGACGGUACCUUACCAGAAAGCCACGGCUAACUACGUG